rnacentral:RNase_P_RNA from 1 species
CCGCUCGGACAGACAGUCGCUGCGUAUCGCGUAAGGCAUACGGGGAGGAAAGUCCGGGCUCCAAAGAGCAGAAUGCCGGCUAACGGCCGGGCGCGGUAACGCGACGGAAAGUGGAACAGAGAGCAGAACCGCCGAUGGUUCACGUUGCAGCCUUUUGAGUCAUUACAAGGCAGCCAACCGCAGGUUGUAUAGGCAGUACGGCACGGCUGGCGCAGUAGGGCGCAAAAGGCUGCAACGUGAGCACAGGUAAGGGUGAAAAGGUGCGGUAAGAGCGCACCGUGCGGCUGGUAACAGUCCGCAGCAGGCUAAACCCCAUUCGGAGCAAGACCAAACAGAACGCAUUGACGCUGCUCGCCGAGCGUUCGGGUAGGUUGCUGGAGCGUGCCGGUAACGGUUCGCCUAGAGGAAUGACUGUCCGACGACAGAACCCGGCUUAUCGUCUGAACGGUGUG